rnacentral:rRNA from 1 species
GACGAACGCUGGCGGCGUGCCUAAUACAUGCAAGUCGAACGAAGCUGUUUUAACUGGUGCUCGCACCGACUUAAACAACUGAGUGGCGAACGGGUGAGUAACACGUGGGUAACCUGCCCCAAAGCGGGGGAUAACAUUUGGAAACAGAUGCUAAUACCGCAUAAUCACAGAAACCACAUGGUUUCUGUGUCAAAGAUGGUUUCGGCUAUCACUUUGGGAUGGACCCGCGGCGUAUUAGCUAGUUGGUAAGGUAAUGGCUUACCAAGGCAAUGAUACGUAGCCGAACUGAGAGGUUGAUCGGCCACAUUGGGACUGAGACACGGCCCAAACUCCUACGGGAGGCAGCAGUAGGGAAUCUUCCACAAUGGACGAAAGUCUGAUGGAGCAACGCCGCGUGAGUGAAGGAGGUUUUCGGAUCGUAAAACUCUGUUGUCAGAGAAGAACGUGUGCAAGAGUAACUGUUCGUGCAGUGACGGUAUCUGGCCAGAAAGCCACGGCUAACUACGUGCCAGCCGCCGCCGUAA